rnacentral:rRNA from 1 species
CCUACGGGUGGCAGCAGUGGGGAAUAUUGGGCAAUGGACGCAAGCCUGACCCAGCAACGCCGCGUGAAGGAAGAAGGCUUUCGGGUUGUAAACUUCUUUUAUGAGGGAAGAGCAGAAGACGGUAACUAAUGAAUAAGCUACGGCGAAAUACGGGCAAGCAGCCACGGUAAUACGGAGGCCGCAAGCGUUGUCCGGAUUUACUGGGUGGAAAGGGUGGGUAGUCCGGCUGAGAAGGCAGAUGUGAAAUUCCGGGGCGAAACCCCAGACCCGCAUUUGAAACUGUUUGUCUUGAGUAUCGGAGAGGCAGGCGGAAUUCCUAGUGUAGCGGUGAAAUGCGUAGAUAUUAGGAGGAACACCGGUGGCGAAGGCGGCCUGCUGGA